UGGGGAAUAUUGGACAAUGGGCGAAAGCCUGAUCCAGCAAUGCCGCGUGAGUGAUGAAGGCCUUAGGGUUGUAAAGCUCUUUUACCCGGGAAGAUAAUGACUGUACCGGGAGAAUAAGCCCCGGCUAACUCCGUGCCAGCAGCCGCGGUAAUACGGAGGGGGCUAGCGUUGUUCGGAAUUACUGGGCGUAAAGCGCACGUAGGCGGUUUUGUAAGUCAGAGGUGAAAGCCUGGAGCUCAACUCCAGAACUGCCUUUGAGACUGCGAGACUUGAAUCCAGGAGAGGUGAGUGGAAUUCCGAGUGUAGAGGUGAAAUUCGUAGAUAUUCGGAAGAACACCAGUGGCGAAGGCGGCUCACUGGACUGGUAUUGACGCUGAGGUGCGAAAGCGUGGGGAGCAAACAG
rnacentral:rRNA from 1 species